GAUGAACGCNGGCGGCGUGCUUAACACAUGCAAGUCGAACGAAGCUGUUAAAAGGAAGUCUUCGGAUGGAAUUUUAACAGACUUAGUGGCGGACGGGUGAGUAACGCGUGGAUAACCUGCCUUAUACAGGGGGAUAACGGAGAGAAAUUUCCGCUAAGACCGCAUAAGACCACAGCACCGCAUGGUGCAGGGGUAAAAUAUUAAUAGGUAUAAGAUGGAUCCGCGUCUGAUUAGCUAGUUGGUGAGGUAGAGGCUCACCAAGGCGACGAUCGGUAGCCGGCCUGAGAGGGUGAACGGCCACAUUGGGACUGAGACACGGCCCAAACUCCUACGGGAGGCAGCAGUGGGGAAUAUUGGACAAUGGGAGAAACCCUGAUCCAGCGACGCCGCGUGAGUGAAGAAGUAUUUCGGUAUGUAAAGCUCUAUCAGCAGGGAAGAAAANGACG
rnacentral:rRNA from 1 species